rnacentral:rRNA from 1 species
AGCGAACGCUGGCGGCAGGCUUAACACAUGCAAGUCGAGCGGGCACUUUCGGGUGUCAGCGGCGGACGGGUGAGUAACGCGUGGGAACGUGCCCUCUGGUUCGGAAUAACUCAGGGAAACUUGAGCUAAUACCGGAUACGCCCUUUUGGGGAAAGGCUUGCUGCCGGAGGAUCGGCCCGCGUCUGAUUAGCUAGUUGGUGAGGUAACGGCUCACCAAGGCGACGAUCAGUAGCUGGUCUGAGAGGAUGAUCAGCCACACUGGGACUGAGACACGGCCCAGACUCCUACGGGAGGCAGGAGUGGGGAAUAUUGGAAAAUGGGGGCAAGCCUGAUCCAGCCAUGCCGCGUGAGUGAUGAAGGCCUUAGGGUUGUAAAGCUCGUUUAUCCGGGACGAUAAUGACGGUACCGGAGGAAUAAGCCCCGGCUAACUUCGUG